UACGUAGGGUGCGAGCGUUGUCCGGAAUUAUUGGGCGUAAAGAGCUCGUAGGCGGUGUGUCACGUCGGCCGUGAAAACCUGCAGCUUAACUGUGGGCGUGCGGUCGAUACGGGCAUCACUGGAGUUCGGCAGGGGAGACUGGAAUUCCUGGUGUAGCGGUGAAAUGCGCAGAUAUCAGGAGGAACACCAUGGCGAAGGCAGCUCGCUGGGACGGUACUGACGCUGAGGCGCGAAAGCGUGGGGAGCGAACAGG
rnacentral:rRNA from 1 species